rnacentral:rRNA from 1 species
GGGGAAUCUUGCACAAUGGGGGAAACCCUGAUGCAGCGACGCCGCGUGAGCGAUGAAGCCCUUCGGGGUGUAAAGCUCUUUCGGCAGGAACGAUAAUGACGGUACCUGCAGAAGAAGCUGCGGCUAACUACGUGCCAGCAGCCGCGGUAAUACGUAGGCAGCAAGCGUUGUUCGGAGUUACUGGGCGUAAAGAGUGUGUAGGCGGUUUGCCAAGUUUGGUGUGAAAUCUCCCGGCUUAACUGGGAGGGUGCGCCGAAAACUGGCAGGCUCGAGUGCGGGAGAGGAGAGCGGAAUUCCUGGUGUAGCGGUGAAAUGCGUAGAGAUCAGGAGGAACACCUGCGGUGUAGACGGCUCUCUGGACCGCAACUGACGCUGAGACACGAAAGCGUGGGUAGCAAAC